ensembl:lncRNA
CUCUUUUACAAUCUCUUCCAUGUUGGUAAGCACCAGGUCCAGCAACGCUUCACCUCUUGUUGGUCUGUCCAUUACCUAAACCAGAAAGAUAUUGUCAGUGGACUCCAAGAGUCUCCUGGGUCACUUGCAGAUCACAAUGUUGUUUUCUAGCAGAUAUCUGAGUGGUUGAAAUCUCCCAUCCAGAUGAGAACCCGUGAGCACAAUGCCUCUUGCAGCUGAAGCAAGAAGGCCUUGUCAACAGCUCCCCUUGAUCAGGCAGCUUGGAGUAGACCCUGACCACCAGAUGCCCUUUACUGGCCCUGUCCCUAAUCUUAACCCACAAGCUCUUAACCUGUUCCUGACUGUUUCUCAGGGGCAGCUCUCAGCAGAUUAUCCACUUCUUAACAAGAAGAGGGCCACUCCCCCACCUCUCCAAUUUGCCUAUCCCUUCUAAAAAGUUUACAGCCCUCAAUCAUGGUAUUCCUCUUGUGAGUCAUCCCACCGUGUUUCCAUGAUAGCAAUAAGAUUGUAGUUUUCCAAUUGCACCACAGUUUCCAAUUCCUCCUGCUUACUUCCCAUGAUGUGUGCAUUGGUACAGAGGCAUUUCAGCUGAAAGUGCCAAAGGUCACAUCUCUGUUUGCCUUGGACCCUUUAUAGAUACAGAUAUAAAACCAGAUAAAUAUGACUGUUUGGAGCUAAAUGCGUGUGCUGCAAGAGUGUGUUAUUAAUGAGAAAAAAGCCUGAAGGCACAGUGACUCCUAGCUCAUGGCCAGCAGACCAUUGCUGUUGUUCUGGGGAAGCAAAUGGGAAAAGCAGAGCCAGCCAAGGAGCAGACAGCCUACACAGGGAUGGAUUUUGCUCCUGGCCCUUUCUCAGGCAAGGCGAGAGCUUUUCCUGAGUGCAACCCACAAGACUGGAUCCACAGCUCCUCCGCCUGCAGCACUUCAAGACUUCCAGGUUGGAGACAAUGCGUCUGGAAAUUUGGGGUGAGCUGCACCUCCUGUGUGUUUUACUUGGACAGUAGGGUGUAAGUACCACGCUGCUGUGCUCUUAUUUAGCUCUGUUAUUACAGCGCUGUUUGUGAAGCAGGAAGAGUAAUCCUCAUGUAAAAAUAAUAGUAUUGCAGAGCUAGACAGCAGAUGGUGUUAUUAAAUACCUGGGCAAAGUCUAAGGUCGUAACGCUCUAACAAUUAAAAAGAUCUAUUGUGUAUCACUUAAUAGGUAACCUCCUAGUGUAGGAUGUUUGCAAGGCUGAGCAGAGAGGCGAGUGGUAUCUUGUCCGAGCCCAGACAGCUCUUCCAGUUAAGCAAAUACUUGGCAACAAUUUUCUUGUCUAAAUUUGGUGCUACCACCACAUCAGAUAGAUACAAUACGAUCCCAUAUCAUCUCCUAAAUGAUCCCUUCUCUAAUCAGCUCCAUUAGGUUUUAAAUAGACUGCAGCUGCCUGAGAACUGGUGAUAGUUGCCCGACAUCCAGGUUCACUUAUAAGAGCAUGGAGAGGCAACUCACUGGGUGAUGUGAAUGGACAUAAGCCUGCUGCCAGGCACGUCUCCUGCUGGCUGCAGGGAGAUCCUGGUGUGUGAGGUGUGCCCGCCAGCGGCCGUGGCUUCCCAUGAGCACCUGCAGCUAUGGGCCUCUCUCCCAGGUGAAACCUCCUUGUCUCAGUUGGUGAAGUUGAAGCUGAACCUCAGUAAUAUGUGGCAAGGCUCUUCCUGCUGCAUAACAUUUUAAGCCAGAACUCCAAGGAUUAAUUUUAUAUUCUAGAGACUGCACUUUCUGCAUUUUUCCCUUGGUGUUUGCUUGGCGUCUUGUGAGCUGUACCUCCCAGUUGAACCUCUCAGCUGAAUACUGGCAUCCAGGAAUGCAACUCACCUUCUCUUCUGCUAUUAGCUCAUUUUACAUGCAUAAGCAAGACUUUCUGCAUCGUAUUCAGAGAUGUGAACCCGAAAUCAUCUCUUCUGGGACUACAAGGAGACUAAGGAGGCUAACAGUCACUCUUUGGGAGCAAUGCAAAUACCAAGAGGAAUGGUUCCCACCAGCGCUGGAGCGCUGACACACUCACUUGACAAGCACCUGCCCUGGCCUCAGGCACUUCAGACUGGCCUUUGAUCACCAGAGAUCAAGAGUAUUUCCACCCAUACAAGCAAACUGGAGCUAUUCCUAAAUAAUGAUGAUGAGAAAUUCCCAAAUACAGUAGAAAAAAGUCAAUGCCCGAAGAACAGCAAGAGGAGGGCUCUGCCUGGAAGGAAUCAUGACUGAAGCUGUGAAGUGUCAUCCAAAAUCACUGAUCCCUAUUGCUAAGCCAACCUAUGUUGAUAGCACCAUUCUGUGGCUGACCCAUCUGGCACAAAAGAGUCGCACAAAACCCUCCCAUUCAAUGUGGAGGCUUAAUGUCCAAGGUACACUUCAAAACACCUUCAUUCCCGUGCCACCGCCCCGUGGUCCCCACACCCUUGGAGUCUGAGGGAACAUCUCCAUGGCCCAAGCCCUGGUGCAGCAAGCUGGGGUGCCUCCAGGCAUCAGCAUCCCUCUCAGAGUUGGCACCGUUCAUGUCAUGGUGGUGCGUGCUCAGCAGCUGUAGCACUGAGUUCUGCUGCAGGGCUGAGCCCAGCUCUUUCUGCCCAUGGAGAUGAAUGCACGGUUGGCUCCCGAGCUGCAACUAAUAGAUUAAAGCUCCCAAUAAAUCAAGAGUUUUGCAAAAGCGUGAAUGACUGAUUUCACAAGGUGAUUAGAAUUAUCAAGGGAAAACAUUUGAAGUGCUCAAUAAUUUACACUAACCACCUGUACUUUUAAAAUAACUUUCCCCAUUCCCCUCCCUUAACUUUAAGGGAUUCUUGCCAUGUUCUUCAAGCCAUUUCCUUCCUUCCCUUCAGCUCUGAUUGCUGCGGAACACUCUUAAUAAAGAACGUACCGUAUCACUGGAGAUUGUUCUGGGGAUGAAAAAUGCAAUGUGAUUUAUUAUAACAUGGCCUAUGCAGGCAGCUGAUCUUAGCCUGCACUCUGCAUCCUUCCAAAAUCAAAACAAUUUGCAAUGUAAUAUUGUGAAAUUGGGUUUGUAUUCCAGUUUGCAUUUUAUGAUUCUUAUCCUUAAGAAAGCAUUUCCAAAUGCAUUUUCAGUUAGUUAGGUUUUUCCAUGCCUGCUUUUCGCUUUCAACAGUGCUAGCAAAGUCAUGCAUGGUUUGAAAGGUUUUACGCGUAAAUUUGGAACUCGUAUCACACCCUACUGAGCAGUGGGGACUGUUCAUUUAUUUGUUUAUUAAGUAGGAGUUAUUUUCUCUCCAGCAUGCUAUAAAGCCAGCUCUUUGACCUCAUUCCUCAACACGGACAAGAACUGAAUUCCUGGAAUAAAGAAAAAAAAUGGAGAAAAUGCACUCCCAUUUUGACAAAAAUAACUGAAGAGAUCCUUCCAACUCAAAAAAGCCUUCAGGAAAAAAUGUGGGACAUAUCCUUCACAGGUUGUCAACCUUCCAUUGGAAGCAGAAGAUCCAUGACAAUUCAUGCCACAGAGGUUUGCUGCCAGGUGGCGGAGGACAAAGUUCACUCUGGAGUGGUUUGCUAGCAGGGCAGUUGCGCAGUGCGUGGAAGUGCCCAGAUGGGAGGCAGGGAGAAGAUGGAAGGCAGAGAACUGAGGUGUGCAGAGGUGACUGGGAGGACACAUCACAGCCCCAUCUCUGAGAAGGGCCAGGAUGAUAGCUUAGGAAAAUGCAGACACGAAGGGCAGUUGGGCAGUGGUACAGUCCCAGCUAAAUCCCUAGUUGUAAAGAGCCCCGAAGGACUUUUUAUGCAGGAAUUUGCCUAACCACAUUUUAAGUCUGGUUAUACAUUGACAAGAAAAAAUGACCCACGGUGAGGCGUUCACACAGCCUGCUCUUUCACUUUGAUAGCCCCAGGCUUCUGCACCAUGAGAAGCAGUGGGUUAACAUGCCACCUGCACCCUGACUGUGCCACCUGGGACAGAUCUCAGGGCUGCCUGAGUUUAUUUUCCAAUAUUUCAACUAAAGAAAAUACCCACUAGCUGAUCUAUGAUAGAGAAAGUAAAAUAAGUAUCUGUACGUGUGCUCAACACAAAUAACUUACUUGAGAAACCCCUCAUACACCUCUGCUUUAUUGUUUUAUUUUCCAGUGGUGGUUUAUGGUGUUGUGAUGAAGCCAGAGGUUUGACACAAAGAGGUAGUCUUUACCCAGAUACUAAUAUUCAGUAGGUCAUCUUGUGAAAACAUACUGGAAUAGAAAUGAAGAGGGAAGGGGCUAGGAAGGGAAAAAGGAAGGAAAAGCUGGACAGUUCAGGGAGCAAAGAAAAUAGCCACAGUGCCACUAGACAGAGAAAUAGAAUGCAAAUAGUGGGGUGAAGACCCACUUUGUAGAGGGACUCCCAUUCAUGAUUAUAUGGUAGAUAAAAGUUCAGUGAAACAGAAGCACACCAGCUGCAUUCACCUGGAGACUGUUGGCACCAUGUUGUUGACUGCAGCUUCUCUUGCAGAUGCAAACAUGAUCUCUGCUGUUGUGACACAAGCUGGGGUGAGCUGUCCUUCCAGCUCCUUCUGCAAAAGUGCCAAGAGCAUGACAAGUGGGGUCCAACAUACUGGUUUUGGCCAGCUCUCCCCAAAGCCAACAGGAGCCUUGAGUCAGGCCACAGGUAGGCGCAGGGCUUUGAGCAAGCUUAAAAAAAUAAAUAAUUACCCAUCCCUGUCCUCAUGGGGAUGCCUCUCAGAUCUUCCUGCAGCUUUCUUCACAGCUUGUUUGGAGCAUUAUGUAGUCUGACCCAAAUUCCAAGAGCACCAUCAGGACAGUUCUCCAGCUGAUGCCGUGGAUGCUCAGUUAGACUACGACACUACCACAGCAGCUUGUAAAUUUGUUUUUCUUCUUUUCGUAGGAGCUUCCAAUGACUCAAAGAGCAAUCAUUGGAUGAUAUAUCAAACUCCAACUGCUAGAUAAAGAAGAGAAAUCGGAGUGCCUGCAAGGAUACCAGCUAUUGUUGUAUCAUCAUAGCUCUUCUGUAACAUUUUCUUCUCAUGAGGUGAUAUGAAGUGCAUGGAGAGGAGUAAGUUAUAAAGUUGUACUAAUGUGAUUGUUUGGGAUGUUAAAACAAAGUCAACAAUUCCUUUACAAACCAUCCCAGCUUCUGGGCAGAUAUCCCUGGAAGCUUCAGGAGUCCUCUUUGAUCCUGGCUGCCCCAUAAAGAAACAUCGUUUAUACUGAAUUAAUUAGCUGCCACUUAACCCUGGCGCCAAGAGUUGAUGUCAUGAGGCAAAACAAAAUGGAGCUAAUGAAAUCAAUAACAUCAUUAAAAUAACUCACAGCAGAGUUACUGACUGCCGUGCCGACUGUGCUUAUGGACCAAUUGCUCAGCACGUAAAGGGACUUCUGCAAGAACAUGUUCAAGCUAUGAAUGGCAGCCAGCAGCCAACUUGACAUCACUCUGCUCAGGUGAGCUUUUCCAGGACUGCACAGGGAGGUUGCAUGGGCACAGCCUUGGCCUGGAAGUGUCAGAUUGGUUUGGACAGAUGGCAGUAAGGAGUAGAGGGCAAGGUGCUCCCAAAGCAAAUUUCUGAGUGGGAGUUUUAAGCAGGAAGGUACAUUUAGGUAGAGCUUUUCUACUAUUAAUGAAGCUAGAGUAAGACAUUACUAGGAACAAUGCACACCAUGCACAGGAACAAGCUGACCUGGAAAGAUUAAUCUGUCCCUGAAGGCCUGAAGCAUCUUGGUUGGCUGCUGAGAAGCUGAAGCCCUGAUCAACAGUGCUUAAAGAGCAUGGACCACAGUGAGCUCUGGCUCAGUGAGAACUUCUUGAUGCUGUGCUUGCAGGCCUGAGCCCCCAUCAUUGGAAACACACUGUAAUGUCAAUGCUUAAUUGAAUGAAAGAUCUAACUGCAUGCUUCUUACACAGAAUUUCCAAAUGUUUGCAAAGUCUAAGCCCCCUCACUGUGCAAAGAUAUAAUAGAUACCGUCAAAAAGUCUUAAGACAGACAAACAGCAAUGGUAAGUCUUUCACUGUUCAAGUUUUACACAAUGUUUUCACCACUGUUAUCCGGCUCUCCUGUAUUUAAUGACAAGUUCAUAGGCGGGGGCAGGUAAUUGUGAACAUUAAUAUUAAUUUUUCCUGACACAACUAAGUGCUAAAUAUGCAGAAGCAUAUCUAUUUAGCUCUGUGCUGGUGCUCUUUCUGUGCUCUUCCCUGAACUGACUGCUGCUAUCAUCUCUUUAAGUUAGCUCCUUCCUGACUAGAUGCUCUGCAGUAUUUGAUUCUGACUUAUACAGGAAACUUGGGUCUGCAGGCAAAGGUGAAAGGCAGCUGGGGUGAGAGUGACCUUCAAGUGGCAAAUCUGAGGCAGAAAGGACAUUUGAAGAGUUAACAGUGCUGUAAGGAAGUUGUGUGGAAGGCACAAUCACAGAAGAAAUAGUAAAGAACUGCUUGUGAACUGCUUGGUAGCAGGGCAACUUAGCACAAGCCCUACAGGAGGCCCACAAGGUACAAAGUGAUUAAAUCAUGAGCUCUUCAUUAGUUUCAGAUGUGCAGUGGAAGCAGACAGAAAGUCAAACUAGGUCAUGUUACUAAGAGGAGGAAUGAAAUGAAAAAGAUAUAGGUGAUGCAACGAGCAGUGGGCGUGAAGUUUAUGCACUUGAAGUAAAAGGAGGGCCAGAGAAAGACCUGAGUUUCACAAGGAGGAGUUACUCAGUGACGAUACCAAAGACCUAAAUGGUUGUUACUUUCUUCCUUUGGUCUACUCAAAGGUGCCCAAGGAGUCAGAGAGCAAGCAGCUUAAUUUCAAUUCCUGGAAAAUGCUGGAAGUGGAAAUUGGUUAAGCUCUUUUCCAGCACCUAGAUGACAGCAAGCAGAUGAGGAACAGCGAGCACUGAUUUGACAAAAACAAAUCACAUCCAAUCAAUCUAAUUUCCUUCUGUAGUAGGCCUUAGAUCUUGAUUUUAGUAAAGCUUUUGCCAUUGUCUCACCUGACACUUUCAUAAACUAAGUAAAGAAACAUGGUUUAGAAGAAACUGCUAUUAGAGGAGUGUACAGCUGGUUGGAAAACCAGACUAAAAGCAGUUAUAAAUGCUUCACUGUCAAACUGGCGGUACGUAUCAAAUGAAGUCUGAAGCCAUCUGUUUUGUGUCUGGCAGUGUACGGUAUUUUCAUUAAUAUCUUUGAAGAAAUGAGAGUAGGGAACACUUAUUAAAUUAGCACAGGACACCAUGGAGAACAAGCGCUUUGGAGAAACAGGAUGAGAAUGCAAAACAAUCUUGACAAAUUGGAGGAAUGCUGGGGAAAACAAACGCCAUUGAGCAGGGACAAAGCAGAGCUCUGCAGUUGCGUAGGCGUCAUCAAGUACUAAAAGACGGCUGGGAAACAACCGGCACAGCAGCAGUUCUGCAGAAGAUCUAGGGAUGACAGCUCAACAUGAAUGAGCACGGUCAUGCUGCAGUAAAAAAUGAAAGUGCUGUAAUGAGGUGUACAAACAGAAGUUCAAUCUGCAAGAAACAGGAAAUAAUUCUUUCCCGCUUGUCUAUGCUGUGAAGACUUCAUUUGAACUGUGCAGGUUCGGCCACUGCAGUUCAGGACAGUUUCAGGACUGGAUAAGCUUGAGGAUUCAACUCAGCCUGCAGCCGAACACCUCAAACAUGGGAGGCCAUUCCACACUGAGGACAACUGAACCAAACAGAGUAAUCGUAUCUUUAGUUAAUGAAACAGCUUCGGUUAGAAAAAGAGGGUGAUAGGAAGGCAUAAAACCAGCAUGAAUUGAUUCAGCUUAAUAAAAUGAGCUGGUUUUAUUAUUUGCUUGCAGCCUACUUCGUAUUAUUCCCCUGGCAGAAGUGACAUCUCAUCACAAGCUUUUGGGAAUCUGUUGUUAAGGGUUUCCUCUUGCAGCUUACAGAGCAAUACCAUAGCUAUGCAAAAUUUCUACAAACUCACACUUUCUCCUCUCUUACCUUGAUGGUAACCUCCUCUCUAAUCUCCUGGUCUGUCAAAUGCUUCCUGUUGGCUGCUGUAGACAUCCUUGCUUGUGCCUCGAUGCAUCUUUUAGCUGUGACAGCCACAACACAACUCCCUGCCUUCCCUCAGGUGCCUAGAAAUGCAGCUCUGUCAUCUUCCUGUUCACGUUUAGCCUGCCCCCUGAAGUCCUCCAGGCUUUUAUUAUCAUGCAGGUUUGUGUUCCUCUCUACUCAUUAACCUCUUUUCCUCUAGCCUUGUCUCUUCUCUUUGCCACAUUAGACUUCUGCACUUCAUCACAUCAAGUCUGCAGCAGAUGUUUCCCUGGCUGCCCACAGACCUCGCACUCAGUGCAAGAAAGGGAAACUCCAUCUCAGUUGAAGUGAAACACAAAGAGGGAACUCUGGUAGUCCUCAGCAAUCCCAUCUGAAUCCUAUCUCAAGUCCAGAGGUAUUUCCUUUCUCUUUUCAUGAGAUUCAUUCACUUCUCCUUUCUCAUGACCCAGUCUCCUACUUGUACAGCAGAACUGAUGGCUCAGAUGGUGCCUUCUGACCUUAAAUGCCUGAAGGUUAACUAAGAAUGGGGGCUCGUGGCACAAGUAAGAGCACAGCAUGUUUUUAAAGAAACGCCUUGGAUAUGUUCAUACACUGCCAUAAAACGUAGCAGCUUGGCUUUGUUCAUUUGUUUUACCACUUGUUGUCUUCUUGCUAACUCUGUACUUCUCUGAAGUGAAGUUCAUCAGUGCACUGACACAGCGACGUAGUUAUGUAUGCCAGGCACAUAAAACACUGCCUAGCCGUAUUUUUGUUAGAAGAGAUGUCACACGUGUACCACAUGUUAGUGUGGCUGACUGUGUCUCCCUGGAGCUGGGUUUCCUCACAUCAGCAGGGAACUGGGCUGGUAGUGGGCCUGGACCAGUAGAUAUGCAGGGACAUGGACGAGGAGCAUUUUGUAAGGUUGAUCUCCCAGGGGGGAUUAUAAUCCAAUUCAUUAUACAGCAACUGGGAGUCCCCUGUGCAUCUCUAUGUCUGUAGAGGUGGAUGUAGAUGCAAGUUGCAGCUUGGAGCAGAAGCACGUGAAGGUGAGGGUAGAUCUCAUCAGUGUGUGGGGAUGAUACUUGUCUCUAACUGCACACAAAGGACAUUUCAUCUUUCCUCCCAGCUCAUCCACUUCCCCUCCCAUAAAGGACAUAAAAAGAAACCAAACAAGAAGAGCAGCCAGUAGAAACUAUCACAUGUUUGGGGAAAGCUCGCAGGACAAAUAUUUCAAACCAGAACUGCCUGAGAUGACCUUACAAGCAAAAUAGACAACACCUACGUAUUGCGAUGGAAAUGACAAAGCAGGGAAAUUGUUGCAAACGCAGCACAAAUGGACACUAGCUGCAGAUUACACAGAUUAGCAGAGCAUUACAAAUUGUACAAAGGAAACGCUCAAUUUUUCUUUUCAGUAUUAAUAAAAGACACCUGAAAUCAGCAGUACCAAUGAUUCCCUUUGUGAAUCUCAGGCAAUAUGUUGGACAGCCACAUGUUUCUCGCUGGCAUCAAGCAGCCUUGCUUUUACUGCAAGAGAAGUAAGAAAUUCCACCAACGUCAGGGGCACCACGCAGCCGUCUCUCUGUACUCAUUCCUGAAAUGAUCUGAAAUCUAACAGAAGGCAUUUUAUUGACAGCUAUCGUGCCUAUUAGCUUUCAUAUGUUUUCAGGACUUCUCAGAAGGAGCUGGUUCAGGACCUCUUCCAGAGGGACCUGUUCAUCAGCCCACCCCAAGUGACCAUUGGAGGCUGUGCAGUGAUGCUCACUUCCAGGGCUGUAGUCCCCUGGGCAUGAGGCUACCUAUGGCCUAGAGCUUGGGCAGGAAAGCCAGGACAGGCAACCAGGAGGCAGCUCAUAGGCUGGCAGCCUCCACAGCUGCUUGUGCUGCUUGGGGCCUCGUGACUGUCUGUGUGCCAUCCUCAAGCGAGAGUCUGGAGAGUGGGGCGAUGCACCCUGUGGUAAUUUCUGCAGUGUUGCAGGCCAGGAAGCACCAGCAGAAGAGAUGUUAUGACAGUGCAAACAGUUACCUCCGCUGCAGGCAUGAUAGGAAGUGACAAUGCAAACAGAAAUGUAACCUGUCAAGGCCACAGCUACAUGCUUGGGUAGACGAGCUUGUCGUUUAACCAAGAGCAGUGCCACAGCUCCCUGCUUCCCAGUGCUUGAAGGCAUCUGCACACAAGAAAGCCACCCCAAAGCUCCGACCUUUCCAUAUGAGUAAGGCUAAAGGACAAUGCUUCUGCUUCCUGGCAUCAGUCUGUGUGUGUGCGUGUCAGCACUAAUUACAGCCAGCAGGAUGGUGAUUUUCAGAUGUAAAAGCUUUCAAUGCCAGCACGGGCCUUGCAGUGCUGCAGUGGAAAAUAUUAAGAGAGGAUUACCAGAAGGCCCAGAAGAAAUAAUAUCACAGCGAAAGGAAAUUAUACUGAGGAGCACAAUGUUUGACUUACAACUGUUGUGGUCUGAAACAUAAAUCCACACGGUACCGAGUGUCUGGAAAACUGAACACCAACUGUAAUGAAAGUAAUCAUUUUGCUAAAGUAUUCUUUACAAAGGGCAACACUUAAAGACAUGUGUUGAUUAAGGUAAAAAUCUAUGGAUGCUGGCCCAGCUCUGGAAGGGCUUCUAAGAUGAGUGCUAGCUCUGUGCACACGAAUGUGGUGUUUGAGGUGGCAAGCCCUGCCAGGGUGAAAUCCCAUGUACCUCUGCCUUUGGAGAGAAGAGGAAAAUGUGCCUUGCUUCUGCUGUGAGACUGACGGAUAAGGAAGUGCUAAGCUUCAUCCUCCCUUCUGCAUGCUGCUGGGGCAUGCAGAUGACAGCAGAACCAGCCAGAAGGUGCAAAUAUCUGAAGCAGAAGGCGGUGGAUUAGAGAUGGUUUUGGAGGCCACUGGGGAGACAAGAAGUGGAAAAUGAAGAAAACAGAAACCAAGUCUGAAGAAAUAACAAAUUCCAGAAAAUGAGAGAAAAAAUCAGGGGAUGAAAAGAAGAUGGAGGAAGGAAGGAAAGAGAUAUCUAGAAAAAGAAGCAUGGAAAGGGUCAAGUCGGAAGCAGCUGAAAGCAGAAACUUCAAAGAAAAAGGCAAUUUAUAUUCAGACUCUUUGGAAACCCUUGUUAUCUAUGACCAACAGGGUCCUGGUACUUACUAGGUAUAGACAUAAAAGGGUUGUAGAAGAGUAAGACAAUGGUUUAAACAUGUACAAGCCAGAGGAAAGGAAAACUCAGCUCCUGAAAGGAAGGGAAAAGAAAGCAAGGGAGGGUCAUUUUAAAAUUGGCUGAAUUAUCUUUUAAUGUUUGGUAAAGCUACACUCUACAGAUGCUAGAAAUUUAAGAGGCACAAAAACUGGGAUUAGUAUAAAAUCCUGUGGACAUGGAGAGCAUUUUGAAGGCAGGAGAUAUAGCUUGUGAGACAGGCACCCCAUGUCCCAGGUGGUGACUGCAACCACCUCUUCUGAAGCCAGGCCUGCUCAAGUAUGGCCAGCAGAGCACCCACGAGGAGCAUGCAUCUGGCAGGCGGCCAUAAAAAACAGAGGACAUCCUACCAGGGCUGACCAGUACUCAUACAGAAUCAAAGCUGGGAUCUAGCCCCUGCCAAUGCCAAGUCUGAACAGGCCAGCUGUGGCCUGGCAAUAGCAGGGCUGCUCCAACCAUGGCAGUCUGUGAACAGAAGUCUGCCACAGACAUGAGAACCAAGCACCUUGUCCCAUCAUUACAAGGGCAGCAUCCCCAGGUGGCCAGGGAUGGUGGAGGAGGACCUUUGAGCUGGGGUGACACUGAGCUCUUUUGUACUGCAUUCACCCCAUCAGCACUGUGAGAGCAGCUGGUGUGGUUGGGUCCACUUGAAGGCAACCUCCAAAUCAAAUGGAGGCAUAAAGACAACACUGAUGACCAUGAAGUCAAACACCAGACCAAAAUACUCGAGUGGUUCAAAUGCACUGAAGCCAUACAAUGGCUGAGCGAUUGAAAUAGAAAAGGAGUAUGUAUGAGUGUGACCAAAGAAGGUAAAAAAAUUAUUUUGAGUGCUGUUUGUUGCAGACAGAGGAAACUCUCUCUGUUAGGCAACUGAGCUAGUUAACAACACAUACAACAUUACAUGUACACUAGGAAGGAGUGUGGUCUGGGCAUUGCCACUGUUUAAGAAAGAGCCCUCUCAUGUAUUUCCCAGGAGCCUGAACGGUUACUUCAUGUGUGAGAACGUCAGGCUGUGACCUGCAGGAAAAGAGAGGGCAUGAGGGAGCCAGAUGGCUGAGUGACCCCAGUGCUGUUCCCAGAAGAAGCAGGAGCAGGCAAGGAAAAAUCUGGUGGCUGGAAGGAAAAGUGAGCCCUAGGCAGGUCCCUCCAUGCUCUGGGUCUCUACUGUUCCCUCUCCCACCAGCCCCCUUUUCUCCUCUGAGCCAGCUUCUCAUCAUACCAGACUGCCCAACUCCCACUCCCCCACCAUCUCAUCCACCACAGCUGCAAUUUUCCAACUCCGGUAAGAAACAGAAGUAUCAGCAUAGCAUAUGCAUGUGCUUGCUGAGGGACGGGAGCAGAAACCUUCCCACCUCUUAGUAGUGUCUCCAGCUGCUGCCUUGCUCUGCCUUCCCAAUCUGCCACAUUCUUUAUGUCCCACGUGGCUGCUUUGGCACAGCUCAAGUGAGUGUGGGGAGCAGCAGUGGCCUGUGGUGGCCAUGGUGACUCAUACUGGCUCUCCAGCCAAGACAGACAGGGGAUACCCCAUAAGCAGAUGCUGGUGACCCCAGCAUGUGAGUGCUACUCUGGCCACCACCACUGCCAUGAAGCCUCUAUGUCUGUCUUACACACAGGUACUGUACAUGACUGAUGUAAUGCACAGGGUCUCAUGCAGUGAUGAGUUUUCCCACACAGGCACUCCCCUCCAUCUCUCUACUGAGCAGGAGGCCAGUUUCUAAUGUCUGCCCUUCACUUCAAAUCCUUGGUUUAUGAAACUGGAGGAAAACCCUGAGACAGCAGGUUGAGACUGACACCAGGGAGAGAGUUAACUCAUUUCCACGGCUGGUAAUUCUCCCCACCAGCCCACGCAGCAUCAGAGCAGCUCCGUAAGCCUCAGCAUAGACUCUUGGCCUGUUCUACAGGUGGUGGAAACUUGUAGUAUAUGGUGUAAAAUGCCUACAGGAAGGUGUUUGUGACAGGGCCAAUGGCUAGUGCAUAUACCUGCCCCAAGGCAGGUUCUGUUGUUGUUCCACCACUGCAGAAAUGAUGUAACACUGGUUUUAUUACAGUGCUGGAAUCCGGCAGUGUUUUGCACCUGGAAGGCUGCAUCUGACACCCACCUGUGAGGCAUCAGUCCAUGAAGACUGGGGCUCUGCUUUGGUUUUGCGGUCACUGCUGCUAAUGCGAGAAAACGGACAGGGCAAAAAACAGGAGAUAAAAGGCAGUCAAAGCACUGCUGAAAAAAUACCAGAUAGUUGUAACUCUUAGGACUAACCUUCGGUGUCAGAGGAGUCAAUGCCUCUAUUUUGAAAGGAUGAGCCAUUUUGCGGGUAUAACAGCAAUGCACUUCAUAAUCCCUUCCAUAUUUGGCUUUAUUGGCUUAUUGUGCAGAGCUAUUAGAAUCAGGAUCAUCUCUUAUGAAGCUGUUAAUGGGAUGCAAAUUGCAUGAAAGAUUUCUCCGCAUCAAUAGAAAACAACCUAGUAAUAAGUUAUUGCAUAAAAAUCUGCAUAAAAAUCUGCUACAAAAGAAAUACUUCUAAAGAAGCAAAAAAUCCUGCGUGACUGAGGAGGAAAUAUGCUUUACAAAGUGCAAAUGAGUACUGGUUUUAGAGGUAAAGGUGACCUACCUCAGAGCUGCUCAUAUCCCAAAGAACAGCUGUGCCCUAGCUACCCAUGUAUAGUGAAACAGUGCUUCACACAACAUCAUGGCUACGGCCAGGUAAAAAACAGUGUGAUGAAUGUUUUAAGCACUGAUAGAUGCAAGUUCAGGCUGACCAAACCUGCAUCUGUGCUGAAUUCAGCAAGGAGCUGUGGCCAAAAUAUGUACAUUUGAAUAAAAUGAAAAGUCUAAUCAGCUCUCUGUAUGUGAUGCACUCCUACUUUUCAUGCUGACACGAUGUUUUGAGACUAGAAUUGGACUUACAGUGAGCUAGAAACACCUAAAACCAGCAUUAAGUGCUGAUCAGUAAGUCAAGAGAAAUAUUGUGCUGAGUCUGUCACAUCGCUUUGCUGUUUGUUUUUCCUUUUUGGUGUUGACAUCAAUGUGACUGUGAUUUCAGCUGUGGUUUCCAGAGAGCACUGCAGCGUGCCUGCGGCUGGAAGGAGCCUUUUGCUGCCAUUCAGCCCAUGCCACCUAGCACAACCACGGGGCACUACUGCUUCUCCCACGUGGCGUACACCCCGCUCCCCCGAGCAUCAGAGCCUCCAGCACAUCACACACCAUCACUCUCCCACAUUAUGCCACAGAAAUGCUCUUUGGUCUCCUGUUUAACGUCCAGCACCAAAGCAGUGGGAAAUACCAGACCACGCAGUACCCGGUGACCUGUCCCAGUAGAACUGAGCUGCCCUGGGUACACCUGCUCUGCAAAACCUAGAGGACAGAAGAGAAAAGCCACAUUUCUGGGAUUCCUUCUUCCACCCAAAUUCCCUACGUGCAACAGGAGCCAGGGGACUGCAGCCUGGGAUGCUGCUCUGUCUCAAGCCCAAGGGGCCAGGCUUUUCCUGAAAUAACAUCCACCUCUUGCUUUGCCGCCUGCUGGGCUCAGCUGAUGCACAUGGAGGAGCCUAAAUAAAGAAACACAGAGCUCAGAGCCCAGGCUUUUCCUCUCCGCUAUCUGCAUUCUUUUGCAUUCAUUAAAAAACAAACAAACCUGUUUCCUGAUAGCAGGGAGGAAAAUCACAGGGCCGCGUUUUGUUUUUCUUUCACUUGCAAUGGCUCAGAUAUUCGAGGGAGAAGCACCUCUAUGGGAUCUACGCAUGGAGAUGAGAGUGGCUGGUAACAGACAUCAGAACAAGCAACAAAUGUCUCCAUCCCUCAGGGAUGGGAGGAGGGAGAGGGAUGGGAAAAAGCAAAAAAGCGUGGGCAUUGCUCUAUCAACCAGAUGCCAGAGGGGGAACUGGCCUAUUCCCAGUCUUGCUCAGAGAUCUGCCAGGGGUGGCAUCGAUCGGAAGGGUGGAGGAACGCGGCCUCGUAUUUUUGCAGCGAGGAUUGGCUCUCUGAAGGAGAGCUAAAAGAAACAGCAGCUUCCCAACGAGCACAGAAAUUGAGAGAAAACGUUAGAAAACGUCUCCAGAUUACAGGGGUAUAAAGAUAGCCCUGGAAGCGGCCGCGCUCCUUGGCGCAGAGUCGCCAGUGCCGGGAAGUGCCUCACAUCCUGUUCUUUGUAUUGUUCUCCCAACUUGUCUGGUGGCUGGGAAAGUUUCUUCCAGCAAUUUACCCCGUCCUCACCCUGCAGCUGGCCGGCCUGCUGCUAUUGAUUCACUUCCCCAGGCAUUUCUCUUACUGUCAUGCUCUUGUGGCACCAAAGCACUCAGUGCCCAGCGCUGCUCCAUUAUAUAUAAGGCUGCUUUCUCUGCCUCUCAGCACAAAAUCAAACUCACAGCACAAAGAGCCGUGGGUUUAGAUAUAUAAUUGGAUCAAAUUGUGUGUAAUGACCUUGUCUGGUCUAUUGUGCCUUUGUUUUCCAUUGCAGCUUGCACCAGAGCAGGUACCAUGUUUACAUUGCAGUCAGGGUGACCUGACUCCCAGCCAUCCUGGAUUCAUUCUUUGGCUAAUGGAAAGAGUUUCUUUGCUCUGGAAAGAGUGGGUCCUUUGGACAGGGCUGAUGUUCAGCCUCAGCUUGGCCAUGCCAGCAUUGAACAACUCUUCUGGCUGCAUGCUCUGUGCUCAGCCCCACAAAACAAGGCUGCAGAGAGCUGUGGAUGAUUGCUCAUGUAUUGAGAUGAGUACGGGUGAUGGGUUGGUGGGCCGGCAGGUUCACAGAGUGGUAUGCAAGCACAGAGCUUGAACCCCAAGGUUACAAUUAAAUCUCACCUGAGGCUGGCUGCAUAAGUAAAGCAAGUCAUGUUUAACUGCAGGAAAGAACAUCAUGUAACAGAAAUCUAAUUGUGUUGAACAGUACCCAAUAUAAAGGUUAUGGCUUAUGGAUUAACAGCAGGAACUUACGCUAUGAACUGGGAACUCGUCUGGAACCAGCAGAAGAGGAAAAGAGCACACUGGUGAUUAAUGAUUUGGGGUGCCCAUGGGAUGCAGUUACGGCAAUACAAGCAUGCUCCCAGGAUGCACUGGAAAGUACGUCCAGCAGAAGUGAAAUACCAAAGCCAUAGCAUGGAUCACUGGCACGUAGUGGAACUGGCCCGUGUGAUGUGACAGACAUCUCCAGGAAGCAGCCUCAGGGAUGUUCACAUGCACAGGAACAUGCUGGGACACUGAGGGCCGUGGGUGGCCUCCCAGCGGGCCAGCAACACAUCACCCUUUUGUCAUCAUGUAACGAAGAGAGCUACCUGAGCUGAAUCACAGUUUUCUGUGUGUCACAAGAGAAGCUGGACUUGCUCACAGCUGCGAUGCAAACGGGUUCUCUUGAGCAGAGAAGUUCUGAUGCAGCCCAACAGUCAGAGCGCAGGUACAAAAUCCAUAGCAAGCUUCAUGACAGUCAGGUCAGGCCAGGACAAGAGCACUGUGAGGCAGUGUGUGGUGGGAGAAGCCAUCCUCCUCCUGUGAGA